UACGGAGGGUGCGAGCGUUGUUCGGAAUCACUGGGCGUAAAGCGCGUGUAGGCGGCUUUGCAAGUCGGGUGUGAAAGCCCUCAGCUUAACUGAGGAAGUGCGCCCGAAACUGCUUGGCUUGAGUACCGGAGAGGAUGGUGGAAUUCCCGAAGUAGAGGUGAAAUUCGUAGAUAUCGGGAGGAACACCGGUGGCGAAGGCGGCUCACUGGCCCGAUACUGACGCUGAGGCACGAAAGCGUGGGGAGCAAACAGG
rnacentral:rRNA from 1 species